AUGAACGCUAGCUACAGGCUUAACACAUGCAAGUCGAGGGGCAUCAGGAAGAAAGCUUGCUUUCUUUGCUGGCGACCGGCGCACGGGUGAGUAACACGUAUCCAACCUGCCCUUUACUCGGGGAUAGCCUUUCGAAAGAAAGAUUAAUACCCGAUGGCAUAAUGAUUCCGCAUGGUUUCAUUAUUAAAGGAUUCCGGUAAAGGAUGGGGAUGCGUUCCAUUAGGUUGUUGGUGAGGUAACGGCUCACCAAGCCUUCGAUGGAUAGGGGUUCUGAGAGGAAGGUCCCCCACAUUGGAACUGAGACACGGUCCAAACUCCUACGGGAGGCAGCAGUGAGGAAUAUUGGUCAAUGGGCGCUAGCCUGAACCAGCCAAGUAGCGUGAAGGAUGAAGGCUCUAUGGGUCGUAAACUUCUUUUAUAUAAGAAUAAAGUGCAGUAUGUAUACUGUUUUGUAUGUAUUAUAUGAAUAAGGAUCGGCUAACUCCGUGCCAGCAGCCGCGGUAAUACGGAGGAUCCGAGCGUUAUCCGGAUUUAUUGGGUUUAAAGGGAGCGUAGGUGGACUGGUAAGUCAGUUGUGAAAGUUUGCGGCUCAACCGUAAAAUUGCAGUUGAUACUGUCAGUCUUGAGUACAGUAGAGGUGGGCGGAAUUCGUGGUGUAGCGGUGAAAUGCUUAGAUAUCACGAAGAACUCCGAUUGCGAAGGCAGCUCACUGGACUGCAACUGACACUGAUGCUCGAAAGUGUGGGUAUCAAACAGGAUUAGAUACCCUGGUAGUCCACACAGUAAACGAUGAAUACUCGCUGUUUGCGAUAUACAGUAAGCGGCCAAGCGAAAGCAUUAAGUAUUCCACCUGGGGAGUACGCCGGCAACGGUGAAACUCAAAGGAAUUGACGGGGGCCCGCACAAGCGGAGGAACAUGUGGUUUAAUUCGAUGAUACGCGAGGAACCUUACCCGGGCUUAAAUUGCAGUGGAAUGAUGUGGAAACAUGUCAGUGAGCAAUCACCGCUGUGAAGGUGCUGCAUGGUUGUCGUCAGCUCGUGCCGUGAGGUGUCGGCUUAAGUGCCAUAACGAGCGCAACCCUUAUCUUUAGUUACUAACAGGUUAUGCUGAGGACUCUAGAGAGACUGCCGUCGUAAGAUGUGAGGAAGGUGGGGAUGACGUCAAAUCAGCACGGCCCUUACGUCCGGGGCUACACACGUGUUACAAUGGGGGGUACUGAAGGCAGCUAGCGGGUGACCGUAUGCUAAUCCCAAAAGCCUCUCUCAGUUCGGAUCGAAGUCUGCAACCCGACUUCGUGAAGCUGGAUUCGCUAGUAAUCGCGCAUCAGCCACGGCGCGGUGAAUACGUUCCCGGGCCUUGUACACACCGCCCGUCAAGCCAUGGGAGCCGGGGGUACCUGAAGUACGUAACCGCAAGGAUCGUCCUAGGGUAAAACUGGUGACUGGGGCU
rnacentral:rRNA from 1 species